GACGAACGCUGGCGGCGUGCCUAACACAUGCAAGUCGAACGGAGAUACUUUUGAGGAGACUUCGGUCAACGAGACUGUAUCUUAGUGGCGGACGGGUGAGUAACGCGUGAGCAAUCUGCCUUUCAGAGGGGGAUAACAUUCUGAAAAGAAUGCUAAUACCGCAUAACGUAUUCGGAUGGCAUCUUCUGAAUACCAAAGGAGCAAUCCGCUGAAAGAUGAGCUCGCGUCUGAUUAGAUAGUUGGUGGGGUAACGGCCUACCAAGUCGACGAUCAGUAGCCGGACUGAGAGGCUGAACGGCCACAUUGGGACUGAGACACGGCCCAGACUCCUACGGGAGGCAGCAGUGGGAUAUUGCACAAUGGGCGAAAGCCUGAUGCAGCAACGCCGCGUGAGGGAAGACGGUCUUCGGAUUGUAAACCUCUGUCCUCUGUGAAGAUAAUGACGGUAGCAGAGGAGGAAGGCUCC
rnacentral:rRNA from 1 species